AGACUAUUUACCGGCGUAGAAGGUACUUUAAAUUAGCUUGCAUUAGAACAGUUUUCGUCAACAAAAGAAAUAAUGGCUCUACUAAAAAAUUGGAUCCUUGUUGCUUUGAUAAUUCCUCUCGUGAGCGGAAACCCUUUCUUGAUGUACAGGAGUCCAUGGAAUUCAAUGACGUACCCUGGACAUCUCAUCAACAAUAACAUGUAUAGUGGAAUGUAUGGAAGAACACCCUUGCUUCCUUACAGUCCCUUCUUAAAUAACUUUUCUGGAUUCGGGAGAGGGGGACUAUGGAAUGACGACGAUUCCAGUUACGUGGGUUUAUACGGGAGAGGAUUUAGGGGCUACGGAGACUUUGAUAACAACUAUUCAAGAUACAACAGGGGAUUGUUCGGUCGUCUCGGAAACGGGGACGAUUUUGAUAGGUACGAUGAUGAUGACGAUGAAAGGUUUGAUGACUAACACUGAGUUGAAUCAUCAGUGGAAGAAUGAAUGUAAAAGUUCUGUGAAGAAUGCGAUGAAGCUCAUAGAAACAUUGAAUGGAAGAAAUUCAAGAUUGAAAAACUUAAUUGCAAAAGCGACAAAAAUGUAAAUUAAACUUUAAAUUUGUUCAGAAUGUUGUGCUCUUUGAUAAAACAUUUUAGUUCA